CUCGGGUGUCGGCUAACGGUAAGCCAACUGCCUUUGAAGCAGUGGUAUUAAGGUAAAAUAUCUUACACCCGGGG
rnacentral:tRNA from 1 species